UACGAAGGGGGCUAGCGUUGCUCGGAAUCACUGGGCGUAAAGCGCACGUAGGCGGAUUGCUAAGUCGGGGGUGAAAUCCUGGAGCUCAACUCCAGAACUGCCUUCGAUACUGGCGAUCUUGAGUCCGGAAGAGGUGAGUGGAACUCCUAGUGUAGAGGUGGAAUUCGUAGAUAUUAGGGAGAACACCAGUGGCGAAGGGCGCUCACUGGCCCGAUACUGACGCUGAGGUGGCGAAAAGCGUGGGGAGCAAACAGG
rnacentral:rRNA from 1 species